rnacentral:sRNA from 1 species
AGCAACACGAUGGGGCGAUACACGGCGG